AUACUUUAGAGGACUCUUUUUUCCUCCAGAGCUGAGUUGUGAUCAGAGAAAGAAGGCAGCAGAGAGGGAUGUUUCAUCGGCCUGGUGCUUCACUUAAAGAUGGGUCUGGGGGCAUUGCUCUUGUGCACUGUCCCUCUUUUAUUUCAUAUUUGAAAAGAUUAAGUUGGAGACUUGUAAUACAAUUAUUUAACAAAAGGGUUCUUUUCAGCAGAUACUGUUAAAGAUACACACAGAAUAACAAACCCCACUUCCCGCUAAGGUGAAUUUUACUUGUAAUGUAGUCCUUCGUCUCAGAUUUGCACAAGGGCUGGUAAACUUAAAUAUUUUCACCCCAAAAUGCUCUUGAUUAAGAGCCAAGCCCAGCUGGGUAGUGAGUUAGAAGAACUUCCGCUUUGUGGAAUGUACUGAUGACAUCAAGGGAGCACAACUCCGAGAAGGACACAUUUACAGAGCACCCUGCCUUGUGAUUACCAUAUUAACCCAUCUUUGCUCUGCCUUAUACCAAUAUGAUCCACAGGCCACUGUAAGGAGCAGUUAUCUAGCCUUGACAGGACAGGGGAUUUUAGUCUGAAUCAUUGCUGAAUCUCCAGUCCCCGCAAAACACCCUGCACAUUGCAUGAGGAAAGGCCAUGUAAAGACAGAGAAAAGGCUGCCCUCUGCAGGCCAGGAAGAGAGGCCUCACCAGAAACCAACUUGGACUUCUAGCAUCUAGAACUUGAGAAACUGGAAUGCUACUCCAGAAGAAGACGAAUCAGUGACUCUGUACAAAGGGAUCUUUGUGUUGCCAAAAGAGUAGAAAAGUUUAUCCCAGGACCAAAAUAUUUCAGAAUUGUGGAAAAUCAAGUUUUGGACACCUACUCAAAAGAGAAGAAAUAUUGCUAUCACAGAAUCCCUGAAUUAGUAUACACCUAGCUGCUAUAACAAAGACGCUCAAAAACAUAAAUGACACUGUAAAAGAA